rnacentral:rRNA from 1 species
UUAAGCCAUGCAUGUCUAAGUAUAAGCAAUUAUACAGCGAAACUGCGAAUGGCUCAUUAUAUAAGUUAUCGUUUAUUUGAUAGUACCUUACUACUUGGAUAACCGUGGUAAUUCUAGAGCUAAUACAUGCUGAAAAUCCCGACUUCGGAAGGGAGGUAUUUAUUAGAUUAAAAACCAAUGCCCUCUGGGCUCCUUGGUGAUUCAUAAUAACUUUUCGAAUCGCACGGCCUUGCGCCGGCGAUGGUUCAUUCAAAUUUCUUCCCUAUCAACUUUCGAUGUUUGGGUAUUGGCCAAACAUGGUCGCAACGGGUAACGGAGGGUUAGGGCUCGACCCCGGAGAAGGAGCCUGAGAAACGGCUACUACAUCCAAGGAAGGCAGCAGGCGCGCAAAUUACCCAAUCCCGAUUCGGGGAGGUAGUGACAAUAAAUACUGAUACAGGGCUCUUUUGGGUCUUGUAAUUGGAAUGAGUACAAUUUAAAUCUCUUAACGAGGAACAAUUGGAGGGCAAGUCUGGUGCCAGCAGCCGCGGUAAUUCCAGCUCCAAUAGCGUAUAUUAAAGUUGUUGUGGUUAAAAAGCUCGUAGUUGAACCUUGGGCCUGGCUGGCCGGUCCGCCUCACCGCGUGUACUGGUCCGGCCGGGCCUUUCCCUCUGUGGAACCUCAUGCCCUUCACUGGGUGUGGCGGGGAAACAGGACUUUUACUUUGAAAAAAUUAGAGUGCUCCAGGCAGGCCUAUGCUCGAAUACAUUAGCAUGGAAUAAUAAAAUAGGACGCGUGGUUCUAUUUUGUUGGUUUCUAGGACCGCCGUAAUGAUUAAUAGGGACAGUCGGGGGCAUCAGUAUUCAAUUGUCAGAGGUGAAAUUCUUAGAUUUAUUGAAGACUAACUACUGCGAAAGCAUUUGCCAAGGAUGUUUUCAUUAAUCAGGAACGAAAGUUAGGGGAUCGAAGACGAUCAGAUACCGUCGUAGUCUUAACCAUAAACUAUGCCGACUAGGGAUCGGACGAUGUUAUUUUUUGACGCGUUCGGCACCUUACGAGAAAUCAAAGUGCUU